rnacentral:rRNA from 1 species
AUUGAACGCUGGCGGCAGGCUUAACACAUGCAAGUCGAGCGGUAGCACAGGGGAGCUUGCUCCCUGGGUGACGAGCGGCGGACGGGUGAGUAAUGUCUGGGAAACUGCCUGAUGGAGGGGGAUAACUACUGGAAACGGUAGCUAAUACCGCAUAACGUCGCAAGACCAAAGAGGGGGACCUUCGGGCCUCUUGCCAUCAGAUGUGCCCAGAUGGGAUUAGCUAGUAGGUGGGGUAAUGGCUCACCUAGGCGACGAUCCCUAGCUGGUCUGAGAGGAUGACCAGCCACACUGGAACUGAGACACGGUCCAGACUCCUACGGGAGGCAGCAGUGGGGAAUAUUGCACAAUGGGCGAAAGUCUGAUGCAGCCAUGCCGCGUGUGUGAAGAAGGCCUUCGGGUUGUAAAGCACUUUCAGCGAGGAGGAAGGUGGUGAGCUUAAUACGUUCAUCAAUUGACGUUACUCGCAGAAGAAGCACCGGCUAACUCCGUG